rnacentral:rRNA from 1 species
UACGAAGGGGGCUAGCGUUGUUCGGAAUUACUGGGCGUAAAGCGCGCGUAGGCGGCUUUGCAAGCCAGAGGUGAAAUGCCUGAGCUCAACUUAGGAAUUGCCUUUGGGACUGCGAGGCUUCGAGGACUGGAGAGGUGAGUGGAAUUCCCAGUGUAGAGGUGAAAUUCGUAGAUAUUGGGAAGAACACCAGUGGCGAAGGCGGCUCACUGGCCAGUUUCUGACGCUAAAGUGCGAAAGCGUGGGGAUCAAACAGG